UCAGCGUUGUCCCAGUCUUCCAGAAUGGUGAUUGUAUUCUUAGUCUCCCAAGUCUGAAUCGUCCGAUCAGCGCCUGGUUGCCACAGAAUGUCGCCGGUGGCUUCUUUCAACAUGAACUUGAACUGGAUUGUUUUCCCCACAGAGGAAUUGCACUUUCGGGGUCCCAUAAGCCAAAUAUAGGAUCAUCUCCCACAACAAAAAACCGCUCGCCGAAUCGACAUUCUUUCUGUAUCUGGAAUUUGACAUGAACAGUAUUGGAUUCAUCUGCACAACAGAAUCAUUGACUUCAUCAGGCUAAGAUAUCACAACGAUCUCAAGCUUUGCAAGAUCAGCUGUAACUUACAUAUAUGUUCCUCCUGAGCCACAUUCUCCAUUUCUCCCUGCAUCAGUAAAAGUGUUUAGCCUGUUCAUAAAACCACCGUAAACAACAAUAUGAAGAAACCCAAAAGGGAAGGGGAAAAGACCUGCGAAUCAGCCUGGAUAUAAGAGAUGGCCUGCACAGUCUUGUUUCUGAGAGAUAAGAGUUCCGAGAAGCGGCCAUUAACAUGAUUUUUGGAAGGUAAAAACGUAAGCUGGGGUCUAUUAUUAACAUACAAUUCUUUCGAAGAAAAGAAAUAUCUGUGUCUCUGCUUGUCAAAGGUUAACUUGGAGCCUGCAGAACUCGUUAAGGUUUCCAUCUCACUCAGUGCGUUACCCACUUCAAGUUACAACCCGAUGGUGAUAAAUGAACGGAUCAGAUUCCACGUGGGGUUGGUUGAAUCUGGCUUCCAUUCAACUCAAACGUGAGAAUCUCAAGCAAAUUAAACAGUUUGCAUUUCGAGAGACUUCAUUAAAACGUCACCGUCGGUGGUCACUCUUUCUCAAUCCCCACCAUUCCCUUCAACGGUAGACAUUGCCACCUGUCCCACCUCAUUUUCCAAUUGGUUUUUUAGGGUUCAGGUUGAUGUUCUUAUCUUCAGCUUUUUGAAGAUUGCAAAGUCAUUGCUUUAGUGGCACUCCAGUAAUGGCGUAGGGGCAGAUUUUCAGCUCCAUGUCUGCUGUGUUCACAUGCAUUUUUUCCCGUGAAAGCAGAUAAGCAGUGGCAAUUAGUCUUUCUUUUCUGUGAGAUGGGCUGAAAAGAGUGUUGCAGGCCAGCUUAGCCUGGGCCCUACCGCAGUGUUUGGGCUCGGACCUUAAAGCCCGGGCUUUUUCAUCUCAAGUUUAGACGUGCCCCAUCCCUGCAAGGGGGAGAAUUAUGCGGGUUUAAUAUGGCAAAGAGUUUAUUCCCACCUAAGUUUUGCUGUAUUUUCAAAGUCUUAUUUAUAGGGUUUUAAAAACUCAAAUAUUUAUCUAUGAACUAUUAACCUUAACCAAAACAGAGGGUAAAAUCGUUAUUUUGAUCACUAAACUCUAAAAUCUAAAAAUUUAUAUCAUUUUCUCCCAUCAGUUUGAAAAACAAACAAUUUCUCUCUACCCAAAAGUUUAAAAAAUUUAUUUUUUUGCCAAAAGCUUUUUCUUCAUUCUUUAACGACAAGAAUCAAUUGUUGUCAUUGGCCGACCAUCCUAACAUCUUCUUCUCUAAUCAUCAACCUUCCUAUCAAAGUAGGUUCAUUGAACAAAGGCAGGUCAUUUUCGUCCGACUAAGAGACUAAAAGUCUCUCUUUAGCCAAACAAAGACGAUUUGUCUUUAUCUGACCAACGGAUUGACAUUAGAAGAAUUGUCUGAUGUGGAUCCGUUAGCUAGAUGAAGACGAUUCUUCGGCUAAAGAGAUGAAAAGAUUUUUCAUCUCUUUGUCGGACGAAGAUGGUUUAUCUUAAUCCAACGAAUCUAUUGCGAUGGAAAGGCCAACAGUUGGAGAAGAUGUUGUGGUGGUCGACCAAUAGUGGUAGUGGAUUCUUGUCACCGGACAAUAAAGAAAAAACUUUUGGGGGGAAAAUGAAUUUUUCAAAUUUUUGAGCAGGAGAAAAUGUUUGUUUUCAAAAAUAUAGGUGAAAAUAAUAUAAACUCUUAAAGUUUUAUGGUUUAGUGGUAAAAUGAUGAUUUUACUCUCUAUAACUAACGGUUUUGGUUAAGGCUAACACCCAUGAGUAGGUGUUUUGGGUUUUGAAAUAUUAUGAAUAAGAAUUUGGAAACACAUCAAAACUUGGAUGGGAAUAGGUCUUUUGGCAAUUAAUAUUAGAUUUAAAGGGCUUGACCCACAGGGAUCAGGGGGUUGGCCUGUAUUAUUGAUCUGCUGAUUGAAUAUUUUAUUUUCAUGUAUAUUGGUGGAACCUAUAAUGCAACAAGUGUUUAGAAAUCUAGACAAAACCAGUUGGUCUUAUCUGAAA